UAGGAACCGUGAGAUUAAGCCAUCGCGGCAGGUGCUCACGUUAAGCCCACUGACUUUCAUGUCCCUAUCUACUAUCUAGCGAAACCACAGCCAAGGGAACGGGCUUGGAAUAAUUAGCGGGGAAAGAAGACCCUUUUGAGCUUGACUCUAAUCUGGCAGUGUAAGGAGACAUAAGAGGUGUAGAAUAAGUGGGAGAUAUUAGACUUCGGUUUGGUAUCGACAAUGAAAUACCACUACUCUUAUUGUUUCCUUACUUACUUGAUUAAAUGGAACGUGUAUCAUUUCCUAGCCAUUAUACGGAUAUAAUUAUUAUGUCUUAUGGUAUUGGGUUUUGAUGCAAGCUUCUUGAUCAAAGUAUCACGAGUUU
rnacentral:ncRNA from 1 species